rnacentral:rRNA from 1 species
CAGCCGCCGCGGUAAUACGUAGGGUGCAAGCGUUGUCCGGAAUUAUUGGGCGUAAAGAGCUCGUAGGCGGCUUGUUGCGUCGACUGUGAAAACCUGGGGCUCAACCCCGGGCCUGCAGUCGAUACGGGCAAGCUAGAAUUCGGUAGGGGAGACUGGAACUCCUGGUGUAGCGGUGAAAUGCGCAGAUAUCAGGAAGAACACCGGUGGCGAAGGCGGGUCUCUGGGCCGAUAUUGACGCUGAGGAGCGAAAGCGUGGGGAGCAAACAGGAUUAGAUACCCCUGUAGUCCCUGUCUCUUAUAC